GAAGAUCAGAGCCUAGUUGCUGCAGGAUCAUCAAUGGCUCAGAUUGGAGAAGCAUCUAACGCAAGCAGCAAGAAGACCAACUGAUUUAAUGUUUUGUAACUAAAGAUUUUGCAGUAACUAUUACAGUAGCCACCAGUCUAGACCAUUUCUCUUGAAAAAUAGAUUACCUCGGAGGUUCCUGAGCUGCAUUGCUUGCUGCUUCUUCACAGUUUUUGUUUGAUAGUUUAUCAUACAUACAGAGUACAGUGAAGCAAUAAGGAUAGGCCUUAAAGGUAGUUAGAUAAUGAAGAGAAUUUGGUAUGUUGGA
rnacentral:misc_RNA from 1 species